rnacentral:rRNA from 1 species
AUUGAACGCUGGCGGCAUGCUUUACACAUGCAAGUCGAACGGCAGCGCGGGCUUCGGCCUGGCGGCGAGUGGCGAACGGGUGAGUAAUACAUCGGAACGUGCCCAGUAGUGGGGGAUAGCUCGGCGAAAGCCGGAUUAAUACCGCAUACGACCUGAGGGUGAAAGCGGGGGAUCUUCGGACCUCGCGCUAUUGGAGCGGCCGAUGGCAGAUUUGCUAGUUGGUUGGGUAAAGGCCUACCAAGGCGACGAUCUGUAGCUGGUCUGAGAGGAGGACCAGCCACACUGGGACUGAGACACGGCCCAGACUCCUACGGGAGGCAGCAGUGGGGAAUUUUGGACAAUGGGCGAAAGCCUGAUACAGCAAUGCCGCGUGUGUGAUGAAGGCCUUCGGGUUGUAAAGCACUUUUGGCGGGAACGAAAAGGACUGUGCCAAUACCACGGUUCGAUGACGGUACCCGCAGAAUAAGCACCGGCUAACUACGUG